rnacentral:rRNA from 2 species
AGAGUUUGAUCCUGGCUCAGAUUGAACGCUGGCGGCAGGCCUAACACAUGCAAGUCGAACGGUAGCAGAACUAGCUUGCUAGUUGCUGACGAGUGGCGGACGGGUGAGUAAUGCUUGGGAACUUGCCUUUGGGAGGGGGAUAACAGUUGGAAACGGCUGCUAAUACCGCAUAAUGUCUACGGACCAAAGGGGGCUUUUAGCUCCCACCUGAAGAGAGGCCCAAGUGAGAUUAGCUAGUUGGUGAGGUAAAGGCUCACCAAGGCGACGAUCUCUAGCUGUUCUGAGAGGAAGAUCAGCCACACUGGGACUGAGACACGGCCCAGACUCCUACGGGAGGCAGCAGUGGGGAAUAUUGCACAAUGGGGGAAACCCUGAUGCAGCCAUGCCGCGUGUGUGAAGAAGGCCUUCGGGUUGUAAAGCACUUUCAGUUGUGAGGAAAGGUUGGUAGUUAAUACCUGCCAGCUGUGACGUUAACAACAGAAGAAGCACCGGCUAACUCCGUGCCAGCAGCCGCGGUAAUACGGGGGGUGCAAGCGUUAAUCGGAAUUACUGGGCGUAAAGCGCACGCAGGCGGUUUGUUAAGCUAGAUGUGAAAGCCCCGGGCUCAACCUGGGAUGGUCAUUUAGAACUGGCAGACUAGAGUCUUGGAGAGGGGAGUGGAAUUCCAGGUGUAGCGGUGAAAUGCGUAGAUAUCUGGAGGAACAUCAGUGGCGAAAGCGGCUCCCUGGCCAAAGACUGACGCUCAUGUGCGAAAGUGUGGGUAGCGAACAGGAUUAGAUACCCUGGUAGUCCACACCGUAACGCUGUCUACUAGCUGUGUGUGAAUUUAAUUCGUGCG